GUGCUCGCUUCAGCAGCACAUACACUAAAACUGGAAAGAUACAGAGAUUAGCAUGGCCCCUGCGCAAAGAUGACAUGCAAAUUUGUGAAGCAUUCCAUAUUGUU
rnacentral:snRNA from 1 species